AUUGAACGCUGGCGGCAUGCUUUACACAUGCAAGUCGAACGGUAACAGGCCGCAAGGUGCUGACGAGUGGCGAACGGGUGAGUAAUGCAUCGGAACGUGCCCAGUCGUGGGGGAUAACUACUCGAAAGAGUAGCUAAUACCGCAUACGAUCUAUGGAUGAAAGCGGGGGACCGUAAGGCCUCGCGCGAUUGGAGCGUCCGAUGUCAGAUUAGGUAGUUGGUGGGGUAAAGGCUCACCAAGCCAACGAUCUGUAGCUGGUCUGAGAGGACGACCAGCCACACUGGGACUGAGACACGGCCCAGACUCCUACGGGAGGCAGCAGUGGGGAAUGUUGGACAAUGGGCGCAAGCCUGAUCCAGCAAUGCCACGUGCAGGAAGAAGGCCUUCGGGUUGUAAACUGCUUUUGUACGGAACGAAACGGCUCUGGUUAAUACCCGGGGCUAAUGACGGUACCGUAAGAAUAAGCACCGGCUAACUACGUG
rnacentral:rRNA from 1 species